UUCAUUUCCACACAAAUGUUUAAAAGACAACAUGUACAUGUAUAGCUUUGGGGAUGCCAGGGAAGAUAAAAUGCAAGUGAAUUUUUAGGCUUUGCUGUCAAGCGAAGCAACCUUGCAUCAACCACAAAGUAAAUAGUGAUGAUGACGUUCACAUUCCUGGAAAUCCAGCACAUUAAAUGCAUAACGGUACUACUUAAUAAUGUGGAAAAAUACUGACGCUAGUUGUUGGAUCAUGAAAGUGUCAGAAGGAUAUGAGCAAAUGCAAAAUCAUUGGAUCGAUCAUUAUAAAAGUGGCCAUCAGCAAGAGCAGUUGAAUCCUCAUAAAAUUUAAAAGUUAUAUUCAUCUAUCUUUAUAAAUAUUAAUUAAAUAAUAAAUCCGAGUGAAAACACGAAAAUAUAAUUGGCGCCCAACUCACAGCAAGUAAAAAAACCAAAGGAGCAUAGUAUCCUGAGAAGUCGCUCUACCAAAAAGGACCAUAGAAUCCUGAAGCUGUAUUACCGAAAAGGACCAUAAAAUCCUGAUUAACUGUACUACCCGGAGGAUCAUAUAAUCUUUUUAAGCUGUCCAACUCAAUGCAGAUAUCUAAUAUAGGAUAACGAAAAACUGUAAGUGAUUUUUUAAAAUACAUAUAAAGUGGACGUAUGUAAGUAAAAUAUGAAAUUAUAAUUGAUAAUUAAACUGUGAAAAAGUUUGAAAAUAUUUCGAAAAAACACGUGUUCAUAGCUUAAAUUGUCGGAAUUUAAAGUUAAAAAUUUGCUACAUUUUCUGUAAAAAUUGGUGACAGAAAAUAUUUACUCUUUUUGGCUUAUAAAUAAACAUUAAACGUUUUCUAAAGUGCGAGAUAUUGAAAUAAAAUAAAUUAUUGUGUUUUUCCAUACAUUUGUAUGAAUAACUUUUUUUCUUUCUGACAUUCCAAGUAGAAGUUUCUAAGCUUGCUUUAAGGAAAAUUAUCUUUGUGUUCUAUUCUCGCCGACAAAAAAUUUGUGAAUUAUAAUUUUCAAUUAAGAUCUUUUUGAUAAUAAGAAGUACCAAUAUCUUUUUAAAGUAAAUUCAGUCUUACCAAAGGAGAUAAUGGAAGUUUAGACUUGAUUAAAUCUUUACCUGAAUUCAAAGGUGAUUCCGCUUCUUACCCAGGUUGGCGAAGUGCUACGCAAUUCGCUAUGAAUUACUGCAAAGAGGGCUCAGAGAGGUAUUUUAUUGCUAUGGGAAUAUUUAGAAAUAAAAUUAUCGAAUCUGCUAACACCACUCUUGCAUCGUUCAAUACUGAUCUAAAUUUUAAAGCAAUAAUCGCCAGGUUUGACCAGACUUAUUCAGAUAAAAGACCGUUAUAUGUAUUAGAGAAUGAGUUGGGCGUUUUAAGGCAGGAUAAUUCGUCUCUCACUGAUUACUACAAUAGAAUAGACAAAACGUUAUCUUUGAUUAUUAAUAAGCGAGCUCCUAGCUACUUUCAACGAACGGGCUAGAUAGAAUGCUUUAUGUUUCUUCAUAUCUGGCCUUCGAAGACCGUUAUGUGAUGUCUUAUUUUCCGCUAGACCAAAUCACCUUCCAUCAGGAUUGGCAGUUGCGCAAGAGCUUCAAACUAGUCAUAUGCGUUAUGAAUUCACAGAAGCAUUUGCAUUAGGUGACUUAAAUAAGCAUUACCCAUCAAGGCCAUUUUUACACCAAUGUCAGUCGACAGAGACGAACAACCAGAAUUUAGAUAAACCUGUCCCAAUGGAAAUUGGUAAUGGUUCAAGCUUUUACAGAACGUAAUAAUUCGCGAAGUUCCUUUUUACCGCAAAAGGUGUUUACCCCUAAAUAUAAUUUAGUAUCACAGAAUCCAAAUCCUAAUCCGCCAGUGACAUUUAAACGUAGUAAUAAUCGAUUACUAUCUGAUCGUUCGCCUUUCAUAAGACACAGAAAGUUAAUUUUAUGCCAGAAGAAGCAUCAUCUUCGAAUGAAUAUGAACACCAAUGCAUUGAUGAUAAUUGUAAUCAAAAUGAAGAAGCUCACUAUAAUUAUGAUGAAGUUAAUGUCGCGAUUUCGGAAAGUGAAGAUGAAAUCAAUUAUUUAAACUAAAAUCGCUCCUGCCGUUUAUUACAAAAAAGAGCAAGAACGGUCAGGAGCAUCGCAUUCUUAUUGGCACAGGUACAUCAAAAAAUUAUAUUAAGUCAUUACCAUUUACGAGUAUUCAAGGUAUUAAGGAAUUAGAAAAUAGUUUUAAACUAAAAUCGAUAAAUGGUGAAAAUGUCAUUAAUAAAAAAUGCCAAAUAAACAUUUUAGAAAAUACCUCAACGUUUUACUUGCUACCAAGCUUAAGAACGUUUGACGGUAUUAUUGAGUACGAUUUUUUUUAAAACAAAUCGAUGUGAAAACUGACACUGUUAGAGGGUAUUUAUUUUAUCGAAAUGGUAAAGUUAAAUUACAUGUGACAUGUUUUCAUGUGACACCGUAAAUCUAAUAACUAUAGAAGAAGACUCAGUACCAGUAAAAUAUCAGCCACAGUUCCGUAAGAUAAAUAACAAUUUUAAUGCCUUUGCUGAUCCAGAUAGAGCUUUGCCGUAUAAUACUAGAGUUCAGGCCCGUAUCCGUACAACUACAGGAGAUCCAAUUUACACCAAAAGCUAUCCAUACCCGAUAUCAGUAGCUCCAUUUAUUAACAAUGAGAUAAAAUCGCUUCUUAAAGAUGGUAUCAUCCAAGAAUCUUGUUCAUCUUACAAUUCUCCUGUGCACGUCGUUUAUAAAAAAAGGCGCUGAUGAAAAUGGAAAGACUAAUUUACGUAUGGUAAUUGAUUUUAGAAAGAUCAAUGAAAAAACUAUUCCUGAUCGAUACCCAAUCCCGGAUACGUCUGAAGUUCAAAAUGGUUUAAAACUUUAGACCUAAAAUCCGGAUUCCAUCAAAUUGUAAUGAGCGAACAGGACAGGGAAAAAACCGCCUUCAGUAUUAAUAACGGGAAAUACGAAUUUUGUCGGCUACCUUUUGGUCUGAGGAACGCACCCAGUAUAUUCCAAAGGACUAUCGAUGAUGUGCUACGCGAAGUUACUGGUAAAUUCUGCCAUGUUUAUGUCGACGACAUAAUCAUAUACAUAUUCCCCUAAUGAAGAAUCGCAUUUGAAGCAUAUCGAUUAUAUUCUGCAAACGCUUGCAAAUGCUGGAAUGCGCGUGUCCCCAGAAAAGUCAAAAUUUUUCAAAACGGAAGUACAGUUUUCUUGUUUUCUUGUGUAUGAAAAAGGCAUAAGAACUUGCACAGAUAAGGCCAAUGAUAUCGUCAGUUAUGAAUCCCCAAGAACGCUGCGUGCCUUGCGUUCAUUUCUCGGGUUGUCCGGAUACGGACAGUUUGGUACAAAAACUUCGAAACAGAUCAAAAUCAAUCUCGACGACGAAGUAUUACGUGCAUUCGAAAAAAUUAAGCAUAUUUUAGCUUCUGAGGACGUUUUACUUCAAUAUCCCGACUAUAACCAAUCAUUUGAGCUUACAACCGAUGCUUCGUCGAAAGCACUGGGUGCGGAUUUGUCACAAAAAAGUUGUCCAAUAACUAUGACAUCGCGAACACUUUCGAAGAGUGAAGAAAACUACGCUGCAAAUGAACGUGAAUUACUUGCUAUAGUGUGGGCGUUGAAAACACUUCGCCAUUACUUAUGUACAUGAAUACAAGAUAUCAAAAUUUUUACUGACCAUCAACCACUAAUAUUUGCGAUGUCAGAAAAAACCCAAACAACAAAAUGAAAAGGUGGCGCGCAUUUAUUGAAGAAUUUUCACCUAAGUUUUAUUAUAAGCCCGGAAGAGAUAAUAAAGUAGCGGAUGCACUAUCAAGACAGUUUUCUCACAACUUAAAUGAGAUCAUCUCGUCCGAAAGUAUACAUAGUCAGAUAUCAGCAAGUAACGUAAUAAAGACAGUUAGAAACUCCGUAAAUCAUGGCUCCAAAUCAGGCUCAUGCAGUAGAAAUAUAAAGAUUAUUUUCCAAAAAAUUAUUAGACAUUCUAUCACACACAAUUCAUUAAGUGUUUAAAAUUUGCUAUUAACCCUGACGUUACCAAUGUAAUACACUGCACUCUUCCCACAUUGGGUGAAAUUCAAAACUGUAUAUUAUCAGCUUAUCCUGGCGUUAAGUUUAUUCAUACUGAGCUCUUCGUCAUUGACUUAAUCAAUAAGGAUGACCAACUGGAAACAAUUAUAACCGAGCACAAUCGAGCCCAUCGAGGGUUACAUGAAAACUUUCAGCAAAUUUCGCCGGAGUACUAUUUUCCAAAUAUGAAAAAAUUACUUAAAACAAUAAUUACAAACUGCAAAAUAUGUUUAUAAAAUAAGUACCAACGUAAACCACCAUGCAUUGAUAGGUCAAAGCCCAAUUCCUAACAAACCAGGAGAAAUCCUUCACAUUGAUGUAUUUAUAAUUUCCAAACAUUUAUUAAAUUUAUUCCUGACCUGUGUAGACAAAUUAACUACAUUUGCUAUCGUGAAACCUAUUGCGUCCAGAACCAUGACCGAUAUCAGAUAUGCACUUUUAGAAAUCUUGCUGGUAUUCCAAAAUACUAAAACUAUCGUUUCCGACAAUGAAAAAUCCCUGAAAUCAAACGCUAAGGUUGCUAUAUAUAUUUCUGGCCUAAUAAUGUCAAUAGGCAUAUUUAUCAACGAAAAUGGUUUUUAUUUUUUAUUUUUUUUUGUCGAUUGCUGUUUUGUUUCGGGCUCAUACGUAUAGAUCCAUGAUUCGUCACCUGUGACGAUCUUAUAAACGUCUUUUGAAGCACCGCGAUCGUAUUUUUUCAGCAUUUCUUUACACCAAUCCACACGAGCUUUUUUUUGAGCGUUUGACAAAUUGUGCGGGAUCCAACGAGAACAAAGUUUUUUUACGGCCAGGUGUUCAUGCAAUAUCGGAUGUAUGCUGGUGGGAGUAUUGCAUAGGCAUGCCUCUAUCUAAAGGUAUGUUACAUGACGGUCUUGCAUUAUCAGUUCACGUACGGCAUCGAUAUUUUCUGGCACAACGGCUGUUUUUGGACGACCUUCACGGAACUCGUCUUUGAGUGAGCGUCGGCCACGAUUGAAUUCGUUGUACCAAUUUUUCACAGUGCUGUAGGAUGGUGCUUCAUAGCCAUACAAAGAUUUGAGUUCAUCGAUGCACUCUUGUCGUGAUAAUCCACGUCGAAAGUUGUGAAAAAUUAUCGCACGAAAAUGUUCACGAGUUAAUUCCAUUUUUUGGCAGAGAUGAUUUUUUGAAUUCCCUGUAAAUAAAACAAUUCACGAUUAAAUGACAAAACGUUCUGAGUGAUGUUAUGCUAAAAAAUGUCAAACUUUCCAAUGGAAAUGUCAGAUUGCACCUGGCAACACUUAGUGUUGCCCUAGGCCAGAAUAUAUAUAGCAGCCCUCGUAGUACAACACUGCUUAGAGACAAUUUUUCCAUUAGUCAAUUUUUUAUACCAACUCUCCACAGUACAUAGAAGCAAUGGUCAGGUGAAAAGGUUUCAUUCCACACUACUUGAAAUUAUCCGAUGUAUUAAGCAGCAGCACCACAUUGAUGACAUUAUCGAAUUAGUAUUACUAGCAACGCAUAAGUACAAUUGCGGUAUUCAUUCCGUGAUUAAUGCUAAGCCAAUUGAUGCGUUUCACGAGAACUCAGAUGAAGGUUUAGUAAGUCUUAGGAGGUCUUUGGUUGCAGCUCAGGAAGAUACUUUAAAAAGGUGUAACCAAAUUAAAAAUAUGAAAACAUAUCAUCCCGGUGAAAAUGUCUUCUUAAAGCGCAACAAGAGACUUGGCAACAAAUUGGAUAAAGUUUUUUUACAGAAAAUUAUCGAGAAAGAUAUUGAUACAACAGUUUUAAUAGAUAGCAAAAGAAUACAUAAGAGCAAUCUUAGAUAAAACAUAUUAGUUAGUAAAAAGAAGACAAGAGAAACACGUUGACAAACCGAACUUAAAAAAGUAAACAAAACCAACCACUUUUUUCAUGUUUUGAAGGAUUAAUUUUUAAAAAAUUGUUAAUUUAAUAACUUUACGUUCUAAGAAGAAGAGUGACUAUUUAAAUUUAAAUACCCACUGUAUAAUUUUAUAAGAUAUAUUGUAAUUAAUUUAAGAUAAGUCAUUGCUCCCGCAAAUUGAAUGUUAGUGACUGCGUAAAGAUUCGAAAAUCAACAGGCACAUACCAACAUCGAAAACAGCCUGGUUCAGAUAGACUUUGCUUCGAUCCGAGGACGUUCGAUUUUAACAACGGGGGUAGUUAAGGUAUCAUCUUUGGAUGAUUGAUUUUGCUAGCCAUUUUCGUAUGCUGGGUUAUGUUGGAAAUCGGUUUUGACUGAUCUAUUUUGGUCUCCAUUUUCUUAUUCCUGGAAUAACGUAAGAAUUUUGACGCUUUGCUGUCAAACGAAGCAACCUUGCAUCAACCACAAAGUAAAAGUGAUGAUGACGUUCACAUUCCUGGAAUUCCAGCACAUUAAAUGCAUAACGGUACUAAUAAUGUGGAAAAAUACUGACGCUAGUUGUUGGAUCAUGACAGUGUCAGAAGGUUACGAGCAAAUGCAAAAUCAUUGGAUCGAUCAUUAUAAAAGUGGCCAUUAGCAAGAGCAGUUGAAUCCUCAUAAAAUUUAAUAAUAAAAGUUGUACUCACAGAAAUUGCUAUAAUUAUAAAUGUUAAUGAAAUAAUAAAAUCCGAGUGAAAACACGAAAAUAUAAUUUAUACAUAUGUAUAAGUAUGCAUAGUUAAUAAAGAAAAAAGAAUCACGCGAAAAUACAAACAAAGAAAACGCUUUCGUUGAAAAAUAUUUUUAGUUAGUUGUUAAGAUGUGGCAACGCUCGUUUUCCUUAUAAUUGCAAUCAAGCUAACCUUUUCAACGAUGAGUGUGCUAAGUGAUUUUUAAAUAAAUAAAUUUAAAUAAAAAAUAAAAUAAAAGCGAAA